GUGAGAUACUUCCAAUUAAAGGUUUUUGAACAUCUCAAAAGCAGUCCUGCCUUAGAAUUCCAUUGCUGUUUUCAAAAGCUGAUUGGAGGAAACCUGAGGGCCCAGAUACUUGCUUGUCAAGCUAAAUAAGCUGAAAAUCCUCUCCUGCACAAGUGUGGUUAAAGAAUCUCUUAAGAAGGUGAGGAACAUCCUGGGAGGAAUAUGGUGGCCAGCUUUGGCUGUGUCUCUGAAAGUCUGCCUUUCACCC